GAAGGACAAAAAUCUGUUACACAUGAUACUCCUGUAUCUGGUGCACCUCUGUUCGAUAAAACCCCACUGACAGAUGCAACUACUGACCUGGUUGCAAAGGAUAGUUCCUGUAAAGCUGCAGUCGCUGAACAUCCCCACGUGUCACGUGAAGACUGUGCUCGCAACCUGCUUAAGUUCAUUUUGUCAGGAAAACUAGAUCCGAGCAUGUCUAUCAUUAAUUUUGGAGGAUUUGGAGG